rnacentral:rRNA from 1 species
GAUGAACGCUGGCGGCGUGCCUAAUACAUGCAAGUCGAGCGAACGGACGAGAAGCUUGCUUCUCUGAUGUUAGCGGCGGACGGGUGAGUAACACGUGGAUAACCUACCUAUAAGACUGGGAUAACUUCGGGAAACCGUAGCUAAUACCGGAUAAUAUUUUGAACCGCAUGGUUCAAAAGUGAAAGACGGUCUUGCUGUCACUUAUAGAUGGAUCCGCGCUGCAUUAGCUAGUUGGUAAGGUAACGGCCUACCAAGGCAACGAUGCAUAGCCGACCUGAGAGGGGUAUGGGCCAAACUGGAACGGAAAAAGGGUCCAGACGACUAGGGGGGGCAGAAGUAGGGAAUCUUCCGCAAGGGGAGAAAGCCGAACGGGGAAACGCCGCGGGGGGGAUGAAGGUCUUCGGAUGGUAAAACUCUGUUUUUAGGAAAGAAAAAAUGGGAAAGUAACUGGGAAAAUUUUGACGGUACUAAAUCAGAAAGCCACGGAUAAAUACGG